CUAUGGCUCCUUUUCAAACCUGCUUGUGGUUGAAGUUCUUCUCUAUGUUUUAUAGAGCUUCUUGCACAAACCAUUCAUUUUCCUGACUUUUCAUCAGAGUUCAUCCCUCUCUCUGCCAUUGGCCACGUGAAGUUUUUAUCUAUUGUUUUCUCUAGAUUUAAUCAUUUAUGCCAUUUUGUUUCAUCACUGUUUACCUGAGGCAAAGUCCAAACCUGACUCGCUUACAAAUGGCCCCCAGCUGAUUCUGAUGAGUGGUUUCCCAAAGGAUAAUGAAAGCUCUGCAUGAAAGAAGCUCCCACUCCCUACACACUGCUGGUGUUUAGAGAAUAGAGAGUGCUUAGAAAAAGGGCUACAAGCUGUGCAGGUUCAGUGCGUGCUUUCAGACUUCUGACUAUUAGCACUUUCCUUCCAGUGGAAGAGGUAACUUCUUAAACGCCCCAGGGCAUGGAUGUCCAAGCUUUUGGCUUGUCUGGGCCACACUGAGAGAAGAGGAAUCAUCUUGGGCUGCAUCUACAUACGUCACUCCAAAGGUAAUGCCUCCUAUUUAUUUCCAUUGCAAAUACAACUGAUACAAAGAGCACAAUAAUA